CAGGAAAGAUUGGGAUCCAAAAAAUCAUAGAUACCGCUUGAGAAAUGCUGCAUCCUGUUUGAUAAGAUUUUCUGCAUGUGUACCAGAGAAGCCAUAGCUGUUCCCUGAAAUUCUAUCAUAUUAUCCAAUAAAAAGGAAAGGAAAGCAUGUAGAUGCAAAAUUGAAUAUCACUACUGUCAAAUUCUUAAGCACUAUAUCAUAACGACAUUAGCUGUGCAAGAAGGGGUUGGGGGAAUGAAUAAAAAGAAGGUUGAUGGUAGGAGAGGUCGGAGCUUUUCCUUUCCCUUCUGAAUAUCUAUUACCUUAAAAAUAGGAAAUCAUCAAUAUGCCAUACAAAUUAACUUACACAACCUGUGACCAACAAGCACAAUAGCAGGAGGAGAAUCUCCAUACAUUAACUAUAGAACAUAUUCGUUGUUUGUAAGAGUGAUAUAACUCAUAUGUUGAUUUAGAAAGUGAAGUAUGUACGAUCUAAUUCAAUGAAAAAGUCUCAGGCACCUUCAAAUUAAUAUGCAAGUGUUGUCUGUGAAGUUGCCACCAAAUGCAGUAAUGUUGAAAACUGAGAAAUUGGAUCAUCUUUGAAUCACCCUCCCUAGAAAUAGAAGCAUGAUGAACCUGGUAAAAAUAGCCUCUUUAAAUCGAAUCUGUUACACCAUUAUAUGCAUAAGUGACAUUGUUGAGAAAGAACAAAAUGAGGCAGGCUGGUAAAGACGUUUCUAGCAUUAAAGAUGAAGAUAAAGAUAACGAUAGGAUCGGCGGAAAUGGCAACAGCAAUGUGAUGAAGAGAUCGCUUUGCUUCGACAUGGGUUAUAGUAGCAGCAGUAAUUGCAAAAGGAUUAAUUAAAACACUAGGAAAUAUAGGUAGUUUGAAUAAGCAGUGGAGAAACUACUAGAAAAGGAUAUAUAGAUAGAGAGAUUUUUUUUUUUUUUAAAGGAUAUAUAGAUAGAAAAGGACAUGGGUUCUACUGCUUUUUUUUUUGUGUAAUUAAGCUUAUUCAAUAUUUACAUAAAAAUGUGAUAUUAUUUAAAUUUUUUUAUGUAAUUCAAAUAAAAUCUACGUAAAUUAUAAAUUAAAUUUAAAAUACAUUUUUAUCUUUUUUAUAGAUAAACACUUUAAUAAUGUGAUUUUAUAAAAUACAAUUUCUUAAUUGAUGAUAAAUUGGAAAUAGUCUAUGCUAUUAUAAUUAAAAAAUAAUGCUAAUUAUAGUAUUACAUAACUAAUUUUACAUGUAAGAAAAAAUAUAUAGAGUAUUACACAAUCAAUCUCACUUAUAUAUAUCAAAACUUUUGAGUUUUUUUAUUGCAAUAUUUAAUUUAAAAUUUAUCUCAUUUAAAAUUAGAGGAAACAUCUCAGAAAUUA
rnacentral:misc_RNA from 1 species